rnacentral:rRNA from 1 species
AUUGAACGCUGGCGGCAGGCCUAACACAUGCAAGUCGAGCGGAUGAAGGGAGCUUGCUCCUGGAUUCAGCGGCGGACGGGUGAGUAAUGCCUAGGAAUCUGCCUGGUAGUGGGGGAUAACGUCCGGAAAUGGGCGCUAAUACCGCAUACGUCCUGAGGGAGAAAGUGGGGGAUCUUCGGACCUCACGCUAUCAGAUGAGCCUAGGUCGGAUUAGCUAGUUGGUGGGGUAAAGGCCUACCAAGGCGACGAUCCGUAACUGGUCUGAGAGGAUGAUCAGUCACACUGGAACUGAGACACGGUCCAGACUCCUACGGGAGGCAGCAGUGGGGAAUAUUGGACAAAGGGCGAAAGCCUGAUCCAGCCAUGCCGCGUGUGUGAAGAAGGUCUUCGGAUUGUAAAGCACUUUAAGUUGGGAGGAAGGGCAGUAAGUUAAUACCUUGCUGUUUUGACGUUACCAACAGAAUAAGCACCGGCUAACUUCGUG